UACAGAGGGUGCAAGCGUUUAAUCGGAAUUACUGGGCGUAAAGCGUGCGUAGACGGUUGCGUAAGUCAGAUGUGAAAGCCCCGGGCUCAACCUGGGAAUUGCAUUUGAGACUGCGUAGCUAGGGUGCGGAAGAGGGAAGCGGAAUUUCCGGUGUAGCGGUGAAAUGCGUAGAUAUCGGAAGGAACACCAGUGGCGAAAGCGGCUUCCUGGUCCAGCACCGACGUUCAGGCACGAAAGCGUGGGGAGCAAACAGG
rnacentral:rRNA from 1 species